rnacentral:rRNA from 1 species
GACGAACGCUGGCGGCGUGCUUAACACAUGCAAGUCGAAGAUAGUUGCGAACGGGUGAGUAACGCGUAGGAACCUGCCUAAUAACGGGGGAAAACUAUGGGAAACGAUACAUAAAACCGCAUACUGUGAGAUGGACCUGGGUGGUAUUAGCUAGUUGGUGGGGUAAAGGCUCACCAAGGCGACGAUACAUAGCAGAUCUGAGAGGGUGAUCGGCCACACUGGGACUGAGACACGGUCCAGAAUCCUACGGGAGGCAGCAGUGGGGAAUCUUCGGCAAUGGACGGAAGGCUGAUCGAGCCACGCCGCGUGUGUGAAGAAGGCCUUCGGAUUGUAAAGCACUUUAAGUUGGGAGGCGUUACCAACAGAAUAAGCACCGGCUAACUCCGUGCCAGCCGCCGCGGUAAUAC